rnacentral:rRNA from 1 species
GACGAACGCUGGCGGCGUGCUUAACACAUGCAAGUCGAACGGGAAGGCCCUGCUUUUGUGGGGUGCUCGAGUGGCGAACGGGUGAGUAACACGUGAGUAACCUGCCCUUGACUUUGGGAUAACUUCAGGAAACUGAGGCUAAUACCGGAUAGGAGCUCCUGCUGCAUGGUGGGGGUUGGAAAGUUUCGGCGGUUGGGGAUGGACUCGCGUCUGAUCAGCUUGUUGGUAGGGUAGUAGCUUAGCAAGGCGUUGACGCGUAGCUGGGCUGAGAGGGUGACCAGCCACACUGGGAAUGAGACACAGCCCCGACUCCGACGGAAGGGAGGAGAGGGGAAUAUUGGACGCUGGGCCAAAGUCUGAUAACGCAAUGCCGGGUGAGUGAGGAUGGCCUUAGGAUUCUAAAGCUGUUUUAGACGAGAUGCUAAUGACAGUACCGGGAGAAUAAGCUCCGGCUAACUACGUG